rnacentral:sRNA from 1 species
GCCAGGCGUGGUGGCGCAUGCUUGUAAUCCCAGCGACUGGAGAGGCUGAUGGAGGAGGAUGGCAUGUUCGAGGCCAGCAAUUUAGCGAGCCUCUAUCUC